rnacentral:ncRNA from 1 species
AGCGAAGUGUCUUAGAGUCUGUUGAAUUAUGCCUCAAUAAACAGAAAUGCCAAGCCAUGGACGGCUUGGCAAGGUGUUAUGCGCCACGGACGGCGCAUAAAAGCCGGUUUCGUCGGGCAUCGAAAACCUAUAAAGCAUAAUUUCUACAGACUCUUAGACACGAA